rnacentral:rRNA from 1 species
UACGAAGGGUGCUAGCGUUGUUCGGAAUUACUGGGCGUAAAGCGCGCGUAGGCUGUUUGACAAGUCAGAGGUGAAAGCCCUGGGCCCAACCCAGGAAUUGCCUUUGAAACUGUCAGACUAGAGUGUCGGAGGGGAUAGCGGAAUUGCUAAUGUAGAGGUGAAAUUCGUAGAUAUUAGCAGGAACACCGGUGGCGAAGACGGCUAUCUGGACGACAACUGACGCUGAGGCGCGAAAGCACGGGGAUCAAACAGG